rnacentral:rRNA from 1 species
GACGAACGCUGGCGGCGUGCUUAACACAUGCAAGUCGAACGGAAAGGCCCUGCUUUUGUGGGGUGCUCGAGUGGCGAACGGGUGAGUAACACGUGAGUAACCUGCCCUUGACUUUGGGAUAACUUCAGGAAACUGGGGCUAAUACCGGAUAGGAGCUCCUGCUGCAUGGUGGGGGUUGGAAAGUUUCGGCGGUUGGGGAUGGACUCGCGGCUUAUCAGCUUGUUGGUGGGGUAGUGGCUUACCAAGGCUUUGACGGGUAGCCGGGCUGAGAGGGUGAGCGGCCACAUUGGGACUGAGAUAAGGCACAGACUCCUACGGGAGGCAGCAGUGCGGUAUAUUGCACUAUGGGCUGAAGGCUGAUGCAGUAACGCCGCGUGCGGGAUGACGGCCUUCGGGUUGUAUUCCGCUUUCGCCUGUGACGAAGCGUGAGUGACGGUAAUGGGUAAAGAAGCACCGGCUAACUACGUG